GACGAACGCUGGCGGCGUGCCUAAUACAUGCAAGUUGAGCGAUGAAGAUUGGUGCUUGCACCAAUUUGAAGAGCAGCGAACGGGUGAGUAACGCGUGGGGAAUCUGCCUUUGAGCGGGGGACAACAUUUGGAAACGAAUGCUAAUACCGCAUAAUAACUUUAAACAUAAGUUUUAAGUUUGAAAGAUGCAAUUGCAUCACUCAAAGAUGAUCCCGCGUUGUAUUAGCUAGUUGGUGAGGUAAAGGCUCACCAAGGCGAUGAUACAUAGCCGACCUGAGAGGGUGAUCGGCCACAAUGGGACUGAGACACGGCCCAAACUCCUACGGGAGGCAGCAGUAGGGAAUCUUCGGCAAUGGACGAAAGUCUGACCGAGCAACGCCGCGUGAGUGAAGAAGGUUUUCGGAUCGUAAAACUCUGUUGGUAGAGAAGAACGUUGGCGGGAGUGGAAAGCUCAUCAAGUGACGGUAACUACCCAGAAAGGGACGGCUAACUACGUG
rnacentral:rRNA from 1 species